rnacentral:rRNA from 1 species
GUAGUCUCGCACAGAUGCAUAUCAAUAAGCGGAGGAAAAGAAACUAACAAGGAUUCCCCUAGUAACGGCGAGUGAAGCGGGAAGAGCUCAAAUUUGAAAUCUUAAAGGGUUUCCCUUUACGAAUUGUAGUUUAAAGAAGUGUUUUCUGUCGAGGUUUUGGUAAAAGUUCUUUGGAAUAGGACAUCAUAGAGGGUGAGAAUCCCGUAUUUGACCUUUACUUUCAACUUUGUGAUACACUUUCAAAGAGUCGGAUUGUUUGGGAAUGCAGUCCAAAAUGGGUGGUAAAUUUCAUCUAAAGCUAAAUAUUGGCGAGAGACCGAUAGCGAACAAGUACCGUGAGGGAAAGAUGAAAAGAACUUUGAAAAGAGAGUUAAACAGUACGUGAAAUUGUCAAAAGGGAAGCGUUUGACACCAGUGUUGUUUUUCUGAAAAUCAAUUAAAGAACUGUUUAUGCUAAGUUGUUUAGACUUUAUCAGCUAACUGUUUAGUUUUGAGCUUUUCUUUAAUGCACUUUUCAGUUAACAAGUCAACAUCAAUUUCUUUUGCUGUAAAAAAGCUUGAGGAAGGUGGCUUGAGAUUCGUCUUAAGUGUUUAUAGCCUCUUGCCUAUGCAGUCGGAGAGAUUGAGGUCUGCAGCGUAGAUCCUUCGGGGCUAAAUGCAUUUGUGCUAAGUUAUAACAUUUUAUAGACAACUUGUUGACUAUGAUUUGUCUUGUAGCUUACUCGCUUAUGUUAUUUUACCUACGCUUAGGAUGUUGAUCUGUAGUGCGUGCGC